rnacentral:pre_miRNA from 1 species
UAUCUACUCCCUCCGUUCCAAAAUAGAUGACCCAACUUUGUACUAAAGUUAGUACAAAGUUGGGUCAUCUAUUUUGGAACGGAGGGAGUAUAUG